rnacentral:rRNA from 1 species
AGACUGUUCCACACACGAUCCCACCCUCCCCUCUCCCCUAUAAAUCCUCCUCUCAACCUCAUGUUCAUCCUCACUCAUCACCCACACAGCGUGCACAACACAAACACAAACACAGAUCGAUCGAGAUCCAGAGCAACCAGGAGCAAUGGCGGGCGAGAAGGGCCUGGUGCUGCUGGACUUCUGGGUGAGCCCGUUCGGGCAGCGCGUCCGCAUCGCGCUGGCGGAGAAGGGCCUGCCCUACGAGUACGCGGAGGAGGACCUGAUGGCCGGCAAGAGCGACCGCCUCCUCCGCGCCAACCCGGUGCACAAGAAGAUCCCGGUGCUCCUCCACGACGGCCGCCCCGUCAACGAGUCCCUCAUCAUCCUCCAGUACCUGGAGGACGCCUUCCCGGACGCCCCGGCACUGCUCCCCUCCGACCCCUACGCGCGCGCGCAGGCCCGCUUCUGGGCCGACUACGUCGACAAGAAGGUCUACGACUGCGGCUCCCGCCUCUGGAAGCUCAAGGGCGAGCCGCAGGCGCAGGCGCGCGCCGAGAUGCUGGACAUCCUCAAGACCCUCGACGGCGCGCUCGGGGACAAGCCCUUCUUCGGCGGCGACAAGUUCGGGUUCGUCGACGCCGCCUUCGCGCCCUUCACCGCGUGGUUCCACAGCUACGAGAGGUACGGCGAGUUCAGCCUGCCGGAGGUGGCGCCCAAGAUCGCGGCGUGGGCCAAGCGCUGCGGCGAGCGGGAGAGCGUCGCCAAGAGCCUCUACUCGCCGGACAAGGUGUACGACUUCAUCGGCCUGCUCAAGAAGAAGUACGGCAUCGAGUAGCCGCGCGGACGGACGGGCGGCCAUGCAUGCGCCAUCCCGCCGGCCGGCCAAUAAAUCAGGGAGCGUUUGGGUGGCCUACAGUGCGUACGUUUCGGAUAUUGAUUUCUUCGUGGAGUCUAGUGUUCGUGCGUGUGUGGUUGGUGGUAGUUGUUUGGUUUUGUUAGUGUGAGUGCGUCGUGGGUGCCGUGUACUCCUGUGUGUGUGUCAAGUGUUGCCACCUGCGAUUCCAUUUUCAUUCCGUGCGAUGAAUAAAUUAAGAAGGGGUCUUCUGGACGCGUCUAGCGGGCGCACGGCCGCCUAGGAUGCUUAGCGAGCGGCCCGACACUUCAGAUAAUUUCUUGUCUCUCCUUUUAACUAGAAUAGUCAUCUAGUAGUCCCUUUUUCUGCUAUGUAUUAAAUGUCAACAUAUGUAUCUCCUCCUAUGCAUGUGUUUGUUCGUAUUUAUUUUGUGAUUUUAAAAUUUAAAAAGGCAUAACUUUCAAUCCGUGUCUUAAAAUUAAGAUCCGUUUUCACCGUUGAAACUCUUGCGACGUGCUCUUUAAAAGUAGAUCCUACAUGGGAUGUUUUGAUGAACUAGUCUUCCUGCCAGCUAAAUAUCAAUAUGUGUGCAACUAGACUACAUGCCGCGCCAAAUGAGUAUGUGUGUCAAUUGUCCUUUUGCUAACUAAACAUCAAUGUGUGUGCAACUAGACUACAUUGCCGCGCCAACUGAGCAUAUGUGUGUGCCAAUAAUCCUGCCAACUAAACAUCAAUGUGUGUACAACUAGACUAUAUUGGCGCGUCAAUUGCGCAUAUGUGUGUGCAAUUAGUGUCCUGCCAACUGAACAUCAGUAUGUGUGCAACUAGACUAAAUUACAAGCCAACUAAGCAUAAGUGUGUGCAACUAGUCCUUCUGCCAAUUAAACAUCAAUGUGUGUAACUAUACUACAUUACAAGCCAACUAAACAUCAAUGUGUGUGCAACUAGACUAUAUUACAAGCCAACUGAGCACAAAGUAGCUGAAUAUAAAACACCCCGAUUACAUCAAGCUCCGUCAGGUCUGCUGCGGCACUGUCGGACGCGUUGAGGAGGUUGGACUUGAGCGCGGUCAGGCUCUCGGGGAAGAGGAGGGGCCGGAGUCGGAGGAUGUCGUCGGAGAGAGGAGUUUGCG